AGAGUUUGAUCCUGGCUCAGGACGAACGCUGGCGGCGCGCCUAACACAUGCAAGUCGAACGAGCGAGAGAGAGCUUGCUUUCUCGAGCGAGUGGCGAACGGGUGAGUAACGCGUGAGGAACCUGCCUCAAAGAGGGGGACAACAGUUGGAAACGACUGCUAAUACCGCAUAAGCCCACGGUGCCGCAUGGCACAGAGGGAAAAGGAGCAAUCCGCUUUGAGAUGGCCUCGCGUCCGAUUAGCUAGUUGGUGAGGUAAUGGCCCACCAAGGCGACGAUCGGUAGCCGGACUGAGAGGUUGAACGGCCACAUUGGGACUGAGACACGGCCCAGACUCCUACGGGAGGCAGCAGUGGGGAAUAUUGCACAAUGGGGGAAACCCUGAUGCAGCGACGCCGCGUGGAGGAAGAAGGUCUUCGGAUUGUAAACUCCUGUUGUUGGGGAAGAUAAUGACGGUACCCAACAAGGAAGUGACGGCUAACUACGUGCCAGCAGCCGCGGUAAAACGUAGGUCACAAGCGUUGUCCGGAAUUACUGGGUGUAAAGGGAGCGCAGGCGGGAAGACAAGUUGGAAGUGAAAUCUAUGGGCUCAACCCAUAAGCUGCUUUCAAAACUGUUUUUCUUGAGUAGUGCAGAGGUAGGCGGAAUUCCCGGUGUAGCGGUGGAAUGCGUAGAUAUCGGGAGGAACACCAGUGGCGAAGGCGGCCUACUGGGCACCAACUGACGCUGAGGCUCGAAAGUGUGGGUAGCAAACAGGAUUAGAUACCCUGGUAGUCCACACCGUAAACGAUGAUUACUAGGUGUUGGAGGAUUGACCCCUUCAGUGCCGCAGUUAACACAAUAAGUAAUCCACCUGGGGAGUACGACCGCAAGGUUGAAACUCAAAGGAAUUGACGGGGGCCCGCACAAGCAGUGGAGUAUGUGGUUUAAUUCGACGCAACGCGAAGAACCUUACCAAGUCUUGACAUCCCUUGACAGGCAUAGAAAUAUGUUUUCUCUUCGGAGCAAGGAGACAGGUGGUGCAUGGUUGUCGUCAGCUCGUGUCGUGAGAUGUUGGGUUAAGUCCCGCAACGAGCGCAACCCUUAUGGUCAGUUACUACGCAAGAGGACUCUGGCCAGACUGCCGUUGACAAAACGGAGGAAGGUGGGGAUGACGUCAAAUCAUCAUGCCCUUUAUGACUUGGGCUACACACGUACUACAAUGGCGUUACACAAAGAGAAGCAAGACCGCGAGGUGGAGCAAAACUCAGAAACAACGUCCCAGUUCGGACUGCAGGCUGCAACUCGCCUGCACGAAGUCGGAAUUGCUAGUAAUCGUGGAUCAGCAUGCCACGGUGAAUACGUUCCCGGGUCUUGCACACACCGCCCGUCA
rnacentral:rRNA from 1 species